GGGGAAUUAGCUCAGCUGGUAGAGCGCUGUGAUCGCACCGCAGAGGCCAGGGGUUCGAGUCCCCUAUUCUCCA
rnacentral:tRNA from 2 species